UACGUAGGGUGCAAGCGUUGUCCGGAAUUAUUGGGCGUAAAGAGCUCGUAGGCGGUGUGUCACGUCGGCCGUGAAAAACCUGCAGCUUAACUGUGGGCGUGCGGUCGAUACGGGCAUCACUGGAGUUCGGCAGGGGAGACUGGAAUUCCUGGUGUAGCGGUGAAAUGCGCAGAUAUCAGGAGGAACACCGGUGGCGAAGGCGGGUCUCUGGGCCGAUACUGACGCUGAGGAGCGAAAGCGUGGGGAGCAAACAGG
rnacentral:rRNA from 1 species